rnacentral:rRNA from 1 species
GACGAACGCUGGCGGCGUGCUUAACACAUGCAAGUCGAACGGAAAGGCCCUGCUUUCGUGGGGUGCUCGAGUGGCGAACGGGUGAGUAACACGUGUGUAACCUGCCCUUGACUUUGGGAUAACUUCAGGAAAGGGGGGCUAAUAUCGGACAGGAGCCCCCGUAGCAUGGUGGGGGUGGGAACGUCUGGGCGGGUGGGGCUGGACUCGCGGCUUAUCGGCUUGUUGGUGGGGGAGUGGCUUACCAAGGCUUUGGCGGGUAGCCGGCCUGAGAGGGUGACCGGCCACAUUGGGACUGCGGUACGGCCCAGACUCCUACGGGGGGCAGAGGUGGGGAAUAUUGCCCAAUGGGCGGAAGCCUGAUGCAGCAACGCCGCGUGCGUGAUGACGGCCUUCGGGUUGUGAACCGCUUUCGCCUGUGACGAAGCGUGAGUGACGGUACUGAGUAAAGAAGCACCGGCUAACUACGUG